rnacentral:rRNA from 1 species
AUGAACGCUAGCGACAGGCUUAACACAUGCAAGUCGAGGGGCAGCACAGGUAGCAAUACCGGGUGGCGACCGGCGCACGGGUGAGUAACGCGUAUGCAACUUACCUAUCAGAGGGGGAUAACCCGGCGAAAGUCGGACUAAUACCGCAUGAAGCAGGGGCCCCGCAUGGGGAUAUUUGCUAAAGAUUCAUCGCUGAUAGAUAGGCAUGCGUUCCAUUAGGCAGUUGGCGGGGUAACGGCCCACCAAACCGACGAUGGAUAGGGGUUCUGAGAGGAAGGUCCCCCACAUUGGUACUGAGACACGGACCAAACUCCUACGGGAGGCAGCAGUGAGGAAUAUUGGUCAAUGGCCGAGAGGCUGAACCAGCCAAGUCGCGUGAGGGAUGAAGGUUCUAUGGAUCGUAAACCUCUUUUAUAAGGGAAUAAAGUGCGGGACGUGUCCCGUUUUGUAUGUACCUUAUGAAUAAGGAUCGGCUAACUCCGUGCCAGCAGCCGCGGUAAUACGGAGGAUCCGAGCGUUAUCCGGAUUUAUUGGGUUUAAAGGGUGCGUAGGCGGCCUUUUAAGUCAGCGGUGAAAGUCUGUGGCUCAACCAUAGAAUUGCCGUUGAAACUGGGGGGCUUGAGUAUGUUUGAGGCAGGCGGAAUGCGUGGUGUAGCGGUGAAAUGCAUAGAUAUCACGCAGAACCCCGAUUGCGAAGGCAGCCUGCCAAGCCAUGACUGACGCUGAUGCACGAAAGCGUGGGGAUCAAACAGGAUUAGAUACCCUGGUAGUCCACGCAGUAAACGAUGAUCACUAGCUGUUUGCGAUACACUGUAAGCGGCACAGCGAAAGCGUUAAGUGAUCCACCUGGGGAGUACGCCGGCAACGGUGAAACUCAAAGGAAUUGACGGGGGCCCGCACAAGCAGUGGAGUAUGUGGUUUAAUUCGAAGCAACGCGAAGAACCUUACCAGGUCUUGACAUCCGAUGCAUAGCACAGAGAUGUGUGAAAUCCUUCGGGACAUCGAGACAGGUGGUGCAUGGUUGUCGUCAGCUCGUGUCGUGAGAUGUUGGGUUAAGUCCCGCAACGAGCGCAACCCUUGUCUUUAGUAGCCAGCAGUACGGCUGGGCACUCUAGAGAGACUGCCAGGGAUAACCUGGAGGAAGGCGGGGAUGACGUCAAAUCAGCACGGCCCUUACAUCCGGGGCGACACACGUGUUACAAUGGCGUGGACAAAGGGAGGCCACCUGGUGACAGGGAGCGAAUCCCCAAACCACGUCUCAGUUCGGAUCGGAGUCUGCAACCCGACUCCGUGAAGCUGGAUUCGCUAGUAAUCGCGCAUCAGCCAUGGCGCGGUGAAUACGUUCCCGGGCCUUGUACACACCGCCCGUCACACCAUGGGAGUUGGAUAUGCCCGAAGUCAGUGACCCAACCGUAAGGAGGGAGCUGCCGAAGGUGGAGCCGAUAACUGGGGUG